rnacentral:antisense_RNA from 1 species
CCUUAAAAAAAAAACCUUCUGACACUGCAGUAGUGAAAAUGAAGCGCACGAUGGGCGGAAGCUAGGAAGACAAACAUAAAGAUGAAGUGCUUAAUUCAAGGUCACACAAUGUCGGGGAUGGACCUCCAGAUUUCCUUACUGGUGAGACGUGGUCUUGUAACACAGUGGUUAAGAAUGUGACUUUGGAGCCAGCCUGCUAGGGGCUGAAUUCUGACUCAGCCAUUUACUAACUGUGUGACCUUAGGUCACAGAAUUUUCCACACUCCUUGACGGAGGUGCUUAACCCUUAUCCAUCAGCAUUCUCAGACAGCACCUCCGGUUAGGGACAGUAUCUGACCGUCCGACAUCCCUGCAGCCCCCAUGUGUCACACAGACUCAGCCUCAGGUAGAUGGUUUCCGUAGAUGGUGGCUUUCUUUGGACCCUUGACAUCAACCAGUUACUAUUUGCCAGAGACAGACUCCCAGACUCGGCCAGAGGCUGAUGCCGACUCCUUCCAGCUCU